rnacentral:rRNA from 1 species
GACGAACGCUGGCGGCGUGCUUAACACAUGCAAGUCGAACGGAAAGGCCCUGCUUUUGUUGGGUGCUCGAGUGGCGAAAGGGUGAGUAACACGUGAGUAACCUGCCCUUUACUUUGGGAUAACUUCAGGAAACUGGGGCUAAUACCGGAUAUGAGCUCCUGCUGCAUGGUGGGGGUUGGAAAGUUUCGGCGAUUGGGGAUGGACUCGCGGCUUAUCAGCUUGUUGGUGGGGUAGUGGCUUACCAAGGCUUUGACGGGUAGCCGGACUGAGAGGGUGACCGGCCACAUUGGGACUGAGAUACGGGCAAGACUCAUACGGGAGGCAGCAGUGGGGAAUAUUGCAAACUGGGCGGAAGCAUGAUGCAGCAACGCCGCGUGCGGGAUGACGGCCUUCGGGUUGUAAACCGCUUUCGCCUGUGACGAAGCGUGAGUGACGGUAAUGGGUAAAGAAGCACCGGCUAACUACGUG